UCGUGUUAUAUAGAAAGUGCAAACGAUUUUGUUUGUUCAUGUUCUGAUAAACGUUCUAUUGUGCCAGCUUCUGUUCCCAGCUUCUAUAUUUACAUGCUGUAUCCAAAAAUUUUGUAGGAUCAACAAUUCGUUCGGCGCCUGUUGGGUACAUUUUAUCCUCAGAGAUAAAUAAGUCAGCGUGUGAAGUCAAAAUUAUUUGCAUAGCAGAGGAUGUAACGAAGAUCUAUGAAAUCAUAGGAUGAGAAGAAUUUUCCGAUACUUUAAAUUUAGAAAUAUAUAUAUAGAGUUAAGAUUCUGAGAUAACAAAAUAGUAAGGGUAUUUGUAAAUUUACACUUUUACGGAUUUUCACAGAGUUAGAAAAUAAUUGGCAAAAAAUUCGCAAAAGAACAGGUCAAAGUUACGACAUAAAAAUUGUGUCCUAUCGAAUAAUCAUUUUACUACGGUAAGAAUUUUUGAAUAUACAUAAGAUAACCUUCUGAUGUCAAAACAUGCGAGAAUUAUAAUUCGUUUUUCUACUAUUAUAAGUCGUAAUUCUUCAAGAUUCUCUUACGAUUUUAUUAUUUUUAGAGCCUUGACGAUUUAUAAAUAAAAUAUAUACAUAUAUUUCUAGAUAGAAAAAUAUUAGAAAAUUCUUUCCUGUUUUAUUGUCUUAUACAUUUUCGUCAACCUAUAUAUUUCGACCGCGGGAAUAAUUUUCUGAUUCACAGCAAAAAUUCUUCCGUUGUUUUGACAUUUGUUUUGUUAAAAAUACCAAAGAAUGACGUAAUCACGAAACGGCGAAUGAUGGAAAAACAAUAACGUACAGUUUGAUAGAGAAUUAUUAUUAAAGUCACAUUAUUUCAAUUGCAGACGCAGACGCUUGCGAAGAUUCGCAUUUACCUCGAGACGGCUUGUCCUACUGAGUCGACUCCACUUGGCAAAGGGAGAGAAUUUAAUACUUGUUAAUUGUCAUGCGAAUGCAAUCCGCGUGAAUAACGUGUAUAUUACCUCCUAUAUAUAAUUGUACACUCCAUCAACGUCGUUCUCCCAAAUUGAAAUUCGAGACCAAAAGAAAACAUCGAAUUUAUCUAUUUAUUUUCUUGAAAAUCUAUCUAUCAUCGAACUUAUGAAAAAUCUCCUUGAAAGGAAACCACUGAAUUUAUGUACAAUCGUUUUCUUCGAAAAUCUAUUUCAUCCAUUGUUAACCCCUUGCGAAGAGUUUUACGUAAAAAUAAUAUUAAACGAGACGUUAAUAUUGCUUUGCAAAUUACUUAUUACGACAAACUGAUUCUUUAAAUAUUGAUUUUGAUUAUGUCGAAUACUAUGAUCUAUCAACAACCCCAACGCACUCGCACGAUGAAGUCUAAAACUUGAAACGAAGAUUUUUCAUUCGGAAAGAAACAAACAAGAGUAUAAAUUUAUUUGUGCAAUAAUGUUCCUCGAUUUUCUACUUUUUAUCGGUAAAAAUAACGCAAGAAACAAUUUUGCGGAUUAUUAACGUCGCUGUAAUGGAGGCAGCAAAAUGGAUUCAGCAACGGGUUGGAUCGUCAGGAAUGGCAUGGUCGUCAGGAAUGGCACGAUCGCUCAUUCUGGAGAUUCGUCGAGGACAAAAGGUAAAGAAGAUGGUCGAGACCAACGAUUUCAACGAGAAACAGAGGCGUCAAUCUCCUGCCGAGAGAUUUAUUUAUAACGCGUGAACGCGCGUCCCCGCCUUGGUACAUUAAACCGUGCACGUAUUGACGUCUCACUUGUCGUCUUUUGCACGCAAAACGAUCUCAAUGACGAAUCGCGUGUUGCAGUUCUGGCUUUCAUCGACACCCACUACGGCACCGCCACAGAUUAUGUAAUUCGAAGAUGAAGAAGAAGAACAAGAAUAAGAAGAAGAUGAAGAGAACGAAGAACGUGGAAGGGUGGAACAGGCGUCUUGCAAGCCAAGAAAAUUUUACAAAUAUUCGUGCGAUGGUCUGAUAAAUUCCAUCAAUCUUCAAAAAUACGCUGUUGAUGUCUUCAAAUAAUAAUCUACGAAAGUAAAGGAAAUUUCUAUUGAUUGAUUGAUUUACUGUCUAAUUGAUAACAAAGACAGUUGAAAAUUCGUAGAAGUUGAUUCCAAAUUGUGUUCAUUGAAUUUCGAAAUAUUAUUAUCACUAUAGAGCAAUUAUUUGUGUGUCACGUGAUCUCACUGUCACGUUAAAUAUCUCGGACAUUUCUAACCCAAUUUCUGAGAAUAAAAUAUCUACGUUAAGCACGUAGUUUCUUAAUUUAGUAUAAUCUUUUCUCGAAGAAUUUCGAUUCCAACCCAGAUUUCUUUUAGAGGAGCGAAAAAGUUGGAAGGCGAUGGAGGAGGAUCGAGAGCCAGCUUCGCCUUAGAGUCGCUGAACCGAGAGGAAUGCAAGAGUGAAAAUGGAGAGUGAAAUAGAGAAGGGAAGAGAAAGGGGGAUGGAGCAUACAGCACGAGGUACCCCGAAGAAUUUGCUGGCCGUACCAGAAGCAAAAGGGCUGAGGCUAUAAACGGGUUAUGUAAGAUUGAGUAGCUGCCACGUGUCGUCGGACGUCGCAUUGCUUCUGUACUUCCUGAGUUCACUUUCGCAAUCGACAAACCUAAUGCCUUUCCAAAAGUCUGGAACGUCGAAAUCUUCCAAUUUUCAAAGUCUGUAAUCCGUUAUUUUUCUUUAAAUAGUUUUUGAAAAUGAAUGGAACAUCGUUGAAAAUAUUGUUCACUGGCAACUAUGAUCUUCGAGAAUUAUAUAGCCAGUAGAAUUGCUUAAAUCUUUUCAAUGUUAAUUAAUCUGGUGAUAUUUCAUCUAUAUUCCAUCUUAAUUAAAAGAGAUUAAAUGACUAUAGUUUAGGAACUAAAUGACGAAGCUGAUCAGUUUAGCCUGCUUGUGACUAAAGUAAUAAAGAGUGGAGGGUGUUAUAGCACGAUAAGAUACUUGAGGGUUAAGUUUGAAGUAGUAUUUUAUUCUCAUUAAUUCUGUUGAGACUGUUCAUGAAUUAUUGAUGGCGUGUAUGAGGUAACACGUGUUCAUAGUGAAAUAUAUUCUAGUCUAUA